rnacentral:tRNA from 1 species
GAGGGUAUAGUUCAGUAGUAGAGCACAUGCUUAGCAUGCAUGAGGUCCUGGGUUCAAUCCCCAGUACCUCCA